UGGGGAAUUUUGGACAAUGGGCGAAAGCCUGAUCCAGCCAUGCCGCGUGCAGGAUGAAGGCCUUCGGGUUGUAAACUGCUUUUGUACGGAACGAAAAGACUCUGGUUAAUACCUGGGGUCCAUGACGGUACCGUAAGAAUAAGCACCGGCUAACUACGUGCCAGCAGCCGCGGUAAUACGUAGGGUGCAAGCGUUAAUCGGAAUUACUGGGCGUAAAGCGUGCGCAGGCGGUUAUAUAAGACAGAUGUGAAAUCCCCGGGCUCAACCUGGGAACUGCAUUUGUGACUGUAUAGCUAGAGUACGGCAGAGGGGGAUGGAAUUCCGCGUGUAGCAGUGAAAUGCGUAGAUAUGCGGAGGAACACCGAUGGCGAAGGCAAUCCCCUGGGCCUGUACCGACGCUCAUGCACGAAAGCGUGGGGAGCAAACAGGAUUAGAUACCCUGGUAGUCCACGCCCUAAACGAUGUCAACUGGUUGUUGGGUCUUCACUGACUCAGUAACGAAGCUAACGCGUGAAGUUGACCGCCUGGGGAGUACGGCCGCAAGGUUGAAACUCAAAUGAAUUGAC
rnacentral:rRNA from 1 species